AAAGUAUUGUGACGUCGUUA
rnacentral:miRNA from 1 species